rnacentral:rRNA from 1 species
CCAGACUCCUACGGGAGGCAGCAGUGAGGGAUAUUGGUCAAUGGGGGAAACCCUGAACCAGCAACGCCGCGUGAGGGAAGACGGUUUUCGGAUUGUAAACCUCUGUCCUCUGUGAAGAUAAUGACGGUAGCAGAGGAGGAAGCUCCGGCUAACUACGUGCCAGCAGCCGCGGUAAUACGUAGGGAGCAAGCGUUGUCCGGAAUUACUGGGUGUAAAGGGAGCGUAGGCGGGAUGGCAAGUAGAAUGUUAAAUCCAUCGGCUCAACCGGUGGCUGCGUUCUAAACUGCCGUUCUUGAGUGAAGUAGAGGCAGGCGGAAUUCCUAGUGUAGCGGUGAAAUGCGUAGAUAUUAGGAGGAACACCAGUGGCGAAGGCGGCCUGCUGGGCUUUUACUGACGCUGAGGCUCGAAAGUGUGGGGAGCAAACAGGAUUAGAUACCCGUGUA